rnacentral:ncRNA from 16 species
UUAGAACGUCAUGCUGAGCUUGCCGAAGCAUCUCUACCGCUUCGUAUAAGCCAUUCAACGAAGCGGUAGAGAUGCUUCGGCAAGCUCAGCAUGACGUUCUGGUGGGUUGAUUAUUUUCCAAACGACUUCCCUGAUUGCUUCUCAACAAAAAACCCCGCCGGACAUAUCCGGCGGGGUUUU